rnacentral:snoRNA from 1 species
CCGACGUGGUCAUCCAGCGAGGUUGCUCUCCUGGCUCUGUCCUGGUGGCGUAUGGGAGCGUAGCUUUCGAGCUGAGACGUACAUUCCCGUUCCACGACGUCGGAGACUAAGCUCCGCCCCCCUGGCCGUUUGGUCGGUGAGGACGUGGCGUCCUGCAUAUUCCUACAUCUUCCCAGAGUCCUUUGGGGCCGUGACUGGGGGGCUAAACCAUGCAGUGCACAGCA